CAAAGACGCAACGCACGUCGCAGUGGCGCGGGCCUUGGAGACGCGCCACCUGACGCAAGAGGUACUCGCCGUCGUUGGCGGUCAGGGCGGCGCCCUCGACCGUGCCGGCACGGGCGCGCACCCAUGCCACGGUGCGGACGGCCCGAUAGGGGUCCCAUGGCACGCGGACGUCAGAGCGGUAUUCGUUGGGGGGUUCGGCGACCGCGUCGCAGGCCAUUGAGAUGGUGUCCGUAUGCGCAUUGAGCGGGUACCGGGACAGGCACCAGGCCAGCGCCUCGGUAUUGCCCGCCCUGGCGGCCCUUUCCGCGAGGGCCGCAACGUUGUCCCGCCCCGUGUCCUUGUUGCCUAGCACGGCUUCGCCGCCGCACGCCACCAGCAGAUCGAGCACGCGCGUGGCGCCAUGGACGACGGCCGCCUGCGCCGCAAUCACGGUGCACGGACCGGCGUCGUACCGGCGAGCGAGCCGCUGCAAGAGCAUGAGCGGCAUGCCCGGAGUGCGGGGUGGAUAGCCUGUCUUGAUAAGCGCGAGAUCGAUAAAGUGACGGACGACGCCGACGGCAUCGUGGGUGCCGGCGAUCUUCCACCACAGCGGGUCGCGAAAGAAUGUGUCUUCCCGGCCCUCGGCGAGCACGACGACCGCGUCGACGCAGUCGGCAGCGAUGGCGUCGCGCAUGGUGCAAUGCUUGGCAAAGUCGAGAUUGGGCACGUGAGCGGCGAUCCGUUCAACCAACGCCAGACCGCCGAUCUUGACCGCGGCGCCCGCCACGGCCGUGAGGUUUUCGCGGACGGCGCGGUCGCGAUCAUGGUGCGACACGUCGUUAACGGCGCGGUCCAUAUGGCCGGUGAUGGCAUAGUCGACCAGGUCGGACGCGCCGGUGGCCAACAGCGCCAGGACAAUGUUGAGCGGGCGCAGCCGCCGCUGUCCGAGGCAUGGAUCGCGCACGGUGCCGGCGUUGGCCACGCAAAAGGCGACGAGGCCCGCGGGUGUCGCCGGCGCGUCUCCCACCAAAGGCCGUUGGACCAGGACGACCGAAGCACGCACGAGGCGACCGCGGGCCUCUAGGAGCGCCUGCCGCUCGUCGACCAGAUCGGCAUAGGCCACGCCUGAUGUCGGGUCGACAGGUCGUCCCGCUGGCGCGUCGGCGACAAUGUCGCGCCACAGACGACACACGCGGCGCGCACAAAAGCGCCAGCACGGCGCAAGGCCCAUCGAGGGAUGCGUGAGGAUCACUGUCCACACCUCGAUCGGCAGGCUCGGCCUGGCGGCAGCGGCCGCCGCGCGGCGCGUUCUCGACCGCACGCGCCGCCUACGACAUGGCCUCUGGCCUUGGGUGUCGGUCGCCUUUUCGCUCCCGUUUGUGCUCAUUGCUUCCUGUGUGCCGUGUGCGCGCUCUUUGCGCUUGCCCGGUUUUUGCAUCUUUGCCUGCGACAGAGGUACCCAAAAAAAAAAGAACCCGCAACUCGUUCUUUUUUUUUGCCUCUUUGCGAGGGACCAGGCUGCAUGUGGGACACGCAAAAAGGGCGCGCGCCGAAAGAGAAAAG
rnacentral:lncRNA from 1 species